CUGUAGCUCGCCCAGGGGCGGAGAGCCGGGGCGCAGGCUCCCCGGGAGGUGGCGGGGCCUGUGUCUGGUUCCCGGCUUUACCCGCAGAGCCCAGUGGUACCGGACCGUCCGCCCUCCGGUGACGGGUGGCGGUUGCCAGGCCCACCGUCUGCAGCCCCGUCGCUCUGCAGUGCUCCUGAAGUCUGUUCUCUGUCGUCUUCUAAGAGCUGCAGGUGGUGAAGUAUGGCCAGAGGGGACUUGGAGAUUAGUCUGUGGAAAGCAGUUUGUCCUGAGGGAGGAUCUCAUUAAGAACCAAGGCUGCAGGGUUUUCCAAAUGGCUCCUUUCCUUCUGUUGCUGGAAGAUGUCCCUCCAGUCUUUGCUGUGGGACCUGGUAGGGCUCCUGGGGGAAAACUCAGGUGUGAAAUGUGAGCGUCUCCAGGAGUUUUUACCGUUCACACUUGUGUGCACUGAGCCUGCAGAAGUUUGUCCUCCCCAGGCACUGGCUACACCUACUCUGCAGGUGGACCGGCGCAGGCUCCGCAGAAGGGCCCGGGAGGCGGAUGCCGGAGUCAGCACCAGGGAGCUGCUGGAGAACAGGCCCGGCCCCACAGAGCACAACUCCCGGCAAACAGGCAACACGAAGCACGAUGGCAGCGUGAGGGCCACCUCCUGAGGAAACCACACUGACUCGCUCCAUUUACCUGGAGAGGCACUGGAAGUCUCCACGCACGCACGCAACCUCGCCUCUGGGCAGCGCACUGACACCCGACGCCGGGCGGUGGGUUCAGUGCCGCUGAGCCGGCCCGGCAUCCAGACAUAAUCAAGUGAAUAGGAGGAGGCCGUGGGGACCAGUGUCCUCACGAGAGAGAGCUGGAGGUGCAGACACCCAGGGGGAGGCCACAGACAGCCAUGUCCACACCACCAGGAUGGCCGAGGAGCUGGCGGAGGCACGGGAUGGACGCCCACAGAGCCUGCAGCCAGAGCAGGCCAACCCUGCUGACACGUCGGCUUGUGGCCUCUGACCUCCUGGACUGAGAGAAUAAACUUCUG